AAUUGUUGUUGUUUCCCAAAUUAUAUUUUAUUUUCUCUCAUUAAUAUUUUAUAUAUAUGUUUUAUUGAUUUCUUCAGCCUCCCUGCUAACCUGCCCUGGGGAGUUCUUCGUGUUAGAGCGUCAGUGUCUUCUCGUCAACAGGGAAGAAAAACUCAAGUGGGUCGACGCCCGUACUUGGUGCCGUAACAAAGGAGGCGACCUGGCUAUCCCUCAAGAAUCUCGCGCUCUCGUGUCUCUGUUGAAAUCAUUUAAAAUUGAUGAAAACUUCUGGAUGGGUGCGUCUGACCUGGCUACAGAGGGAGUCUUUCUUGACGUGUCAAACAAACCCAUCAAUUUGGGGUCAUCAUUGUGGCAUGUAGGCGAACCGAGUGGAAGUGAAGACUGUUUCCACCUUUGGCAUAAUAAUGUACACGGAUGGAAUGAUGCUCAUUGUACGCGUCAUGAAUAUUUUAUUUGUGAGCAUCAGCCAAUAUAAGAUAUAAUACAUCAGGUCCAUAGGUUAGUUGCGGUUCCUUUGUGACUGUGUGGUCCCUGAUGGCUAUGGCGGUUUAUCUUGUAGAGUCAAGAUGUCCUACCAGGCAGGUGUCUCUUUCCUCACUCCUACAGAGAUGAGUGGACACUGGACACACACACACACACACACACACUAUAUACAGUACAGUGUGCGUGAAUUUUAUUUUUGUACAAUAUAUCAGUAUUUUUAUUUUCACAGGUGUAUGUUAUGCCCUCUGUUAUCUUCACUAUUACAGUUCUCAUUAUCUAGACCAAUAAAGUUUAGCAUACCAUUAUCUGCCUUUUGUUAGUAAUAUUUUCUUUAACUGGUAUAACAUGAUGUAAGGAGCUAACAUGUCUCUUAACUAGGUCAGUACAGUGUUACCAACCACUUACAGUACAUGUAUUUGGUUGUAUAAAGUGCUUACUGUGGUCAUUAUCACUGACAGAUUAGUGAUGAGGUCACUUAUGAAUAGAAUUGGAAUUGAUGUUAUAUCAAAAUAAUAAAAUGUGUUUGUUCAUGUG